rnacentral:rRNA from 1 species
AGCGGAAGUAACGAGUAGAUAUCUGCCUCGAGGCCCGGGAUAGCGGCGGGAAACUGCCGGUAAUACCGGAUAACAUCUCCGGAUCAAAGGUGUGAUUCCGCCUCGAGAUGAGUCUGCGUCCUAUUAAUGCUUGUUGGUGUGGUAACGGCGCACCAAGGCGAAGAUGGGUACCGGGUGUGAGAGCAUGGCCCGGCUCACUGGGACUGAGACACUGCCCAGACACCUACGGGUGGCUGCAGUCGAGAAUCUUCGGCAAUGGGCGAAAGCCUGACCGAGCGACGCCGCGUGCGGGAUGAAGGCCCUCGGGUUGUAAACCGCUGUCAGUAGGGAGCAAAUCUCUUGGGGUUAUCCCCUUGAGUUGAGCGAUCUUCAGAGGAAGUACGGGCUAAGUUCGUGCCAGCAGCCGCGGUAAGACGAACCGUACGAACGUUAUUCGGAAUCACUGGGCUUAAAGAGUCCGUAGGCGGCCGUGUAGGUGGGAUGUGAAAGCCCUCGUCUCAACCGAGGAAUUGCGUUCCAAACCACAUGGCUUGAGGAGGAUAGAGGUGAGCGGAACUGAUGGUGGAGCGGUGAAAUGCGUUGAUAUCAUCAGGAACACCAGAGGCGAAGGCGGCUCACUGGGUCCUUUCUGACGCUGAGGGACGAAAGCUAGGGGAGCAAACGGGAUUAGAUACCCCGGUAGUCCUAG